AUGGAAGAGCAGUAUCGACUAAGCGGUACCAUAACAUCCCUUCUGGAGUCAAGGGAGAACCACCAGAGGAGUGGCCACACUCAUCUCCCAUCUCCCAUGUUCAAAAUAGGUACUCCUAAUGACGCAAACAAGCCGAAUAGGAAAUUGUGGAUUUGUUUGAGUCGUCUUUCAAGGACAACAAUACUAUUAGUAGGUCCUUCUUCUCCGCAAUUCCAACUCAACUCAGCCUCUAGAUCAGCACUGCUGAAGCUGACUAAGUCCACAAUCAAAAGCAGGUUCCUUUCUCAAAAAUCCAAGGUCAACAAAAAAGACAAGUAA